UACGGUAACAUCACGUUGAAAUAACGAUUCUCGUCCUAUCAACGAAGUUAAGCAACGUUGAGCUUGGUCUGUACCUAGAUGGGUGACCACUUAGGAAUACCAGGUGCUGUAA